CCAUCUAUCCGAAAAACAAUCCAACCCUAAAACACUAAAAGCCCAAAUCAAACAAGAUAUUCGCUCUCCUCUUGCGUCUCCACAGACAUUUUUUUCGAAUUUCCCUUUCCAUUCGAUUUAAUCCCCAAGCUCUAGCAAUUCAUGGCGUAGAAUUCAAGUACAAAUCUAUUGCUCUCUCUAACAAGUAUUUCUCUCAUCUCACCAUCUCAAGGAAAGAAUCGAUCUUCAAACCCUAGAAAAUGUCGGGCGGAUUUUUCCGGGGUACUUCGGCUGAUCAAGACACUCGAUUCUCCAAUAAGCAAGCGAAGCUACUGAAAUCACAGAAAUUUGCUCCUGAAUUGGAGCAUCUGGUUGACAUGACGAAGGUUAAGAUGGAUGUUAUUAGACCUUGGAUUGCUACUCGGGUAACUGAGCUUCUUGGUUUCGAAGAUGAAGUUCUUAUUAACUUCAUCUACGGUCUUCUCGAUGGAAAGGAAGUUAAUGGCAAGCAAGUUCAGAUAUCCCUCACUGGAUUCAUGGAAAAGAAUACAGGAAAGUUUAUGAAAGAGCUUUGGAUCCUUCUGCUUAGUGCACAGAGAAAUGCAAGUGGUGUUCCUCAACAAUUCUUGGAUGCCAAAGAAGAAGAAACUAGGAAGAAAAAGGCAGAGUCAGACCGGAUAGCAAAUGAGAUUCAGAAGAAGAAAGAAAAGGAAAGUAGAGAACUUGAACAAGAGAGAUUGAGGAAGAUGGACGAUGGUGAUGAAGCGAAGGCUGGUGAUGUGGAGUUGGAUCCAUUCUCAAAGAAUAUGCCAAAAGGUUCAAGUGCACAUCCUGAGGAUGAGAGAGAUGCUGACCAAAGGAAUGGUGUCGGAAGGAGGAGAGUUUCUAAAUCUCCACGUUCAACUGACUUUUCUCCAUCCCCUCGAACAUUGCUUUCUCGAUCAGUCAGCAGAUCAUUUUCUAAUUCGAGAAGCUAUUCAGACGACAAACAGAAGUCUAGGAGUGUAUCUAGAUCACCUCAACCUUGGCGGCGCUCUAUUUCAACUGAUAGGAUGUAUCGUUCCCCAAGAAGGCAAUCUCUAACUCCUAGGUCUAGGCAUACACCUCGAUCAUCACGCUCUCCUUCAAGACAAAGACCAUCUUAUUCCAGGCGAAGAUCUCAUUCUCGUUCACUUCGCAGAUCACCAUCUCCUGUAAGACGUAGAUUACGUUCUCCUUACCAGCGCAGGUCACCUACAUCUGUGCAUCGUAGAUCCCGAUCACCCAUCCGACGUCAUAGAUCACCCUCACCUUUCCGACGUCAUAGAUCACCAUCACCUAUCCGACAUCAUAGAUCUCCAUUAUCAAUUCGACGUCGCAGAUCACGAUCUCCUGUUCGACGUCGCAGAUCUCCAUCACCCAUGCAUUAUAGAUCUCGUUCACCUGUACGCUGUAGAUCUCGCUCGCCUGGGCAAUGCAUAUCUCCUUCACCUAAACGCCGUAGAUCUCCAUUGCUUGUGCGCCGUAGAUCUCCAUCACCCUUGCAACGUAGAUUACCCUCUCCUGUGCGACAGCGGCAUAACAGAUCUUCAUCAACACCCCGACGUAGGUCAUCAUCUCUUGUGCGACGUAGAUCACUUGCUUCUGGUCGUAGGUCAAUAACUCCUCAUGGUAAGUCUCCUUCACCUUAUCAAUCAAGUUCUUUGUCUCCUGUGCAACAUAGAUCUUCACCAGUUAGGAGAUCUCCAAAGAAACGAAGAUCACCUUUGCUUUCUCCUAGAGAAAGACAACGAAUGCGUGGAAAGUUGUCUCCUGUGGGACUUAGACCCUCUAGUGUUAGACCCCCACGUAGAGAUCUUAUGGAUCAGAGGGAUGCAGGUGAUAAAGUGCCGGCCUUAUCACAGAAUAAGUCUCCUGUCUCUGAAUCUCCGUCACAUGUGAGGAAUCGAUCUGCUAAUGAAGAUAGGAGGUCUUCGAGUCCAUAUGAGAGUCCUAUGAAGCAAAGGAGGGAGCGAAUUGCUCAUAAUGAUAGCUUUAGUCCUGAAUGGAAACCAAGAGAAUUGAGAGGUCAGCGGGACAGUCAAGGUACUGGGAGAAAAAAUGAAGCCAGCAGAAGCAGGCAUUCACCACCAGUCAGUAAGCAGAGGGUUUCUCCUAGGAAGGUUCAUACUCCCGAACGAUUGACAGGCAGUCUGUCUACAGAAUCGAGAAAGAAAGACCUUGAAAUGAAGAGUGAGAGGUCUUCUGGAAAAGUGGUUCAUUUGGGAACUCCUGAUCGACAGAGAUCACCAGCAUUAUCUGAGGACUCAUUUCAAGGCGAGAAGCAAAGUGAAUCACACCUUGGAGAAGGAAAAAGAUCUGAUGAGAGGAGCCGUUCCCGUCAAAAUAAUUUGAAGGACAGUGAUCAACACCACAAAGCAGAAGCUUCACCAAUGUUGCUUGAAAAGGUUGAUCAUAAUAACCGUGGAUUGGAAUCAGGUUCUGAAGAAAGUGAUAAGUGCAGAACUAAGUAUAAGGAAAAGAGAAAGCAUAAAAGGUCUGAGAGGCGUGAAGUUACUUCAGAUGGCGAUUCUAGCUAUGAUUCUGAAAUUGAGAACAGGAAAGAGGCUAAGAGGAGGAGGAAGGAAGAAAAGAGAUUAAGAAAGGAGGAGAAGCGUAGACGUCGUGAGGAGCGGCGUCGCAGAAGAGAAGAACGGAAUGCAAAGAAGCUUAAAAUGAAAGAUCAAGAUGUUGACUCUAAUUCAGAUGGUGAACAUGCGGCAAGGAUGAAGUCUCAUCCAACUGAUGAUAAAGAGGCAGAGACUGAACAGAAGCAGCUUGAAAUUGAGUUAAGGAAGAAGGCACUUGAAUCACUCAAAGCAAAGAAGGGCAUUAGUCGCUGAAUCUUGUGUUUUGAAUGCUAAUAUGUUAUUUAUCUUUGUUCUCGUUCAGCUGAUACAUUUAAAGUUUGAUAGGAAUUUUAUGUUUCAAAUUGGAGUGUCUCUAUAUUGGUUACUGCUUAAUGUAGUUUGUGUUUACUGCUGGCAGCUGGAAUGGAUAAAUGACGAUUUCCUGAGCUUUUCUGUUGCAACUUUAUGCAGACCUUGCUGCUAGAUUUCUGAUAAAUUUAUUUUCAACUAGAUGACUUGGUUGAGCAGGCCAUGUGCAGAUCUCCAAUUGAACUUCAAUUCAGCUUGAUAGUUGUUGCUGGGACAUUUUUAUCUUAAAUUAUUGCUGGUUCUCAGACUUGUGCUGUUCUGCUGAUGACAUUGUCAUGUAUUUAUUUGCAAUGAUUAACUCUGUAUGAGAAUAUUGCUUAAAAUCUUAAGGGUAUUGAUUUAUUGGAAUUUCCUAAUCAGCUACGGGUCUGGAAUGUCAUUAUAAUCAAAUCUGAGCCUUUUGGGUUCUAGGUUGUUGGGCAUGAGUUGCAAUAUGGCCUAUGUUUGAAAUGUAGUGUAUGUUUGAAAUACGGCUAGAAUGAAAAUCUUUCUUAUGCAUAGUUAUAUUUGGUGAUCCUUCAAUCGCCAUGUGAUGCUGCUUUUUCUCCUUUCUUGAUGGGGUGUUGAUGAUUUCAUACUUGUUAGUGAGGGUCUAUCUGCCAUGCUUCUUCAUUAUGUCUCAACUAUUUGGGUUCUAACUUCUAAGCAUUUAUCAAAUGCCCUGAAUCGGUAUUGGUGGCUUUGUUGCAAAGGAAUAUACUAUAGUUAAAAGUUGGAGGCGGUGAAAGUUGAGCUUGAGCAGGAUGUAGCAUCUUGAAAGCUUAACUAAACGGAGUUGUCUUAUCAUAUGCCAUGGUCUCUUUAUCUUGGCAGUUGGUAGAGUAACUUAUCCCCCCGCCUCGGAAAUUUCUAGUACGGUCACAUUUUGGUUGGUUCUUGUUCAUUCUUAAUUUGUACAGCAAUUUCACAUCUUUUUCAUUUUCACGAAGCUACUAAAGAGAAUCUUUGGAUGGUGAAAUGGUUUUAUGCGCUGUUAAGCUUCUGGGGUUGAGGUAGAUUUUUCGGGUGCAGAUAAUUUUAGUUUUGUCAUUAUUGGUGGUUGAUGACAGUUGACACUAGCUUCUAUCCAUGUGGUGUCUAUUUACAAUGGGAUCUGUUAGUAACUUCUGAAUCGGACAGAGUAGCAAAUGUAAUUUUCCCUGACUUCUCUUUCUCGAGAAAUUAUUUAUUUUCAUGUUCAGAGAAAGAUGGGAAGAGGACCAGCCUGAAAACCAGGUUGAUCCAAACAGCCAUCUGGUUGUAGGAUUCAUCCAAGGCCUUCAAUGGAUGAGUGGCAGUUCUAGUUUUUUCUGUUCACAAGUGUUCUGUUGCCUGCUCUAGAGGUGAUUAUUUGCUCUACUAGAAUCAGUAUCUUUGCUAAUUUGCCAAUUGUUUAUUGGUUGAUAUUCAGGAACCUGAUAUAAUUAGGUAAUUUACCCAGUUCAUGGAAAUAGAAUUUCGUUUCUGUUAAAAAGUCCCAAAACCGAAAAGAUUUAAACCUGAAAACUCUGAUUCGUCUUAAUUAAUCUGGAUUUCUGUUCGCAUAAAGCUGUUGUCCUUCUGUUUAUGUGGACCAUGCUUAUCCGACUGUAAUCAGUGGAUUAAGCUUGCUCGAAACCAAAUGAACUGCUGACGGAUCUGUCAUUUUCUGGUGGUUCAGCACGCAUUAAAUCUGGUGUCCAAUUUCCUUUAGUAGAAAAAAUUGACUACGUGGCUCAUCUCUAUUUGAUAGCUUGCCAUCACGCUUUCUCAUCUGGAAAAAACACAGUUCGGUUGCCAUAGCCACAGGCAUCGAGAAC